rnacentral:rRNA from 1 species
UACGGAGGGUCCGAGCGUUAUCCGGAAUCAUUGGGUUUAAAGGGUCCGUAGGCGGUCUGAUAAGUCAGAGGUGAAAUCCUGCAGCUCAACUGUAGCAUUGCCUUUGAUACUGUUAGACUUGAGUUAUUGUGAAGUAGUUAGAAUGUGUAGUGUAGCGGUGAAAUGCAUAGAUAUCACACAGAAUACCAAUUGCGAAGGCAGAUCACUAACAAUAUACUGACGCUCAGGGACGAAAGCGUGGGGAGCAAACAGG